GCGGGAAGAAGCUUCAAAUUUGAAAUCUGGUAGCCUUCGGUUGCCCGAGUUGUAAUCUAGAGAAGUGUUUUCCGUGCCGGCCCAUGUACAAGUCCCUUGGAACAGGGCGUCAUAGAGGGUGAGAAUCCCGUCCUUGACAUGGACCCCCGGUGCUUUGUGAUACACUUUCAACGAGUCGAGUUGUUUGGGAAUGCAGCUCAAAAUGGGUGGUGAAUUCCAUCUAAAGCUAAAUAUUGGCGAGAGACCGAUAGCGAACAAGUACCGUGAGGGAAAGAUGAAAAGCACUUUGGAAAGAGAGUUAAACAGUACGUGAAAUUGUUGAAAGGGAAACGAUUGAAGUCAGUCAUGCUCUUGGGACUUACCUCCCUUGAGUGGGGUCAACAUCAGUUUUGAUCGAUGGAUAAAGGCACGGGGAAGGUAGCACUCUCGGGUGAACUUAUAGCCUCGCGUCAUAUACAUUGAUUGGGACUGAGGAACGCAGCAUGCCUUAUGGCCGGGAUUCGUCCACGUACAUGCUUAGGAUGUUGACAUAAUGGCUUUAAACGACCCGUCU
rnacentral:rRNA from 1 species